GUUUCAAUAAGAAACAAUGAUUCUAACAAAUCCCUAAGCCUCAGUAGACACUCCCCCUUUUAAAAAAACAUAUAGCCCUAAAGUUCUCCUUUGCGCCACUCUUCUGCUUUCGGACUCACCAAGGCUCUGAUUACGAUGGAGUUCGGCGGCUCCGACGACAAGGUUUUGACAAGGUCAACGAGCGUUGGAGGGAUAACCCUGGCCAUUUUGGUGCAAGGCCACUGAUAUCUGUCAUGCUUCGGGCAACGAGUGAGCUGCAAAGGCACGAAGAAGCAGUGCGGCGCACAUGGUGCCCUAGGGUUUUUUUUUUUUCUGAAACAGCUUAAGCUUUGGGCCAUUUUGGGCUGCAAUGUUUUUUCUGAUUUGGGUUAUAUUGGGCCUGUUUGUAAUUUGGACUUUAUGAAUAUUUUUGUUAUUUUGGGUUUUAUUUAUUUGUGCUUGGGCCUGGGCAAAAUGAGCUAUUACAAUUUUCACUAGGAAUCUUGUGCACAUGCUUUAUUUUAACUUAUGUACAUGUCAUGAUCUAUUGUUAAAAGAUCAAAAUCAUACCCUUUUCCAAUA